AUCAAGAUUCAGUAAUCCCACUAUUUGGAACUCGGACUCUGGUGGAUGGAUUGGCGAAGAAGUUGAGACUGAAUACAACUGUGCCUUACAGAAAUUGGUUUGAGGGAGAACAGGUCGGCUUCUAUACAUGAAUAUGAGAUUAACUUCAUAAAUCACUUCAAGUUUCAACUGCUUAAUUAAAGAUCGGAUGAUUUAAAUCUCAUUCAUGAUGGUUUUUCUUCUGUUUUUCUAGGUUGGUGGAUGGACGCAAGUUUAUGGUGACAUCCUAUCCUUUGCCACCGUGAGAGGAGGGUCACAUACAGUGCCGGGUACACAACCAGCCAGAGCACUAGUUCUGUUCACUGCAUUUCUAAAA
rnacentral:lncRNA from 1 species